rnacentral:lncRNA from 1 species
UUUCUCCACCAACCUGUGCGAAUGCUUUGUGCCUCGUUCUGUAUGCCUUCUCCUUCUAGCUGCGUGUCUAACAAAGUCUGCAUCGAAACAAAAGAAAGUGUGAAAGCUCAAGAUGAAAGGGAGAUGAAACUGAAUUUUACUCAUUUCUACAACUGUGCUGACAGCUGAGCCAUUCCACACACCUUUGGGGCAAAGAACCGCUGGAAGCCCGGGCCAAGUUCAAAGACCGAACAUUCUUUCCAAGGCGACCAGAAGCACCCUGGAGGGCUGGCUCCUAGUUACAUAAGCCACAGCUUCCUCAUUGGCUGAUGAACUCAUCUGGUGUUCCUAAGACCAACACCUUCAGUCCCAUUUCACAAAGUCCAAAUCACAAAGGAGGAAACUAUUUAUUUGAUGAAUGCUGUAUUGAAGGAGACUUAGGAGGUGUGUCGUAACACCACCCAUCUAGAAGACCCCAGGAGAACUGAAUACCCCCAGUAGCUUUCAUCAUUCAGUGGCCAAAAGCACCACAACGUUUGUUGUCUUCUGAUUUCUGAGUUGUAAUGUGUUGGUAUCCAGGAGGCUCUUCUUCCCUUUAUACCUCACGAUGGUCCAAAGAAGACCAGAUACAGAAGAAAAAGAUUCAAGGAGAAGGCCUCUGUAAGACACAGUCAAAGUGCUAUUUAAGGAUAAGCCCGUAAUCAAAUGCUCCAUACCAUCUGUUUGAGAGUUUUUUGAGACUGGGAUCACUGUCUGGAACCACAGGCCGCCCUCUGAAGGCUGGAGAGGUGGUGACAGCUGAACAAAUGAUGGCGCUACGAGUCCAUGGGUUAGGUUACCUGGGCAUGGGAAUCCCCAUAUAGCCAAUGCCUUCUCGGGUAUUAAGUGUCAGAUAAACACAGCUCCUCAACUGCUACCCUGUGAAUGUGUGUCAUCGCCUGCUGGAAGCCGAUGCCAUGUGCUGUUUACUUGGUGUGGAGGACAGAAACUAUACCUUUCUGGAGUAUUUCAGAUUCCAAGGUCUAAUCCUGGACAGCAGGGCCACUGCAAUAUCUGGAUCUCAUUAAGAGUCUUGAUAGGACAUGACCUCCUAAGACUCACCUUGUGCAGCCAAAUGCUGCAGGAAACAGUGAGGCUUGGGUUGCAGGCGCGCAGAUCGCCUUUCCAUGGUCACCGAAAGGUCUUAGGGUCUGAUCUUUUGUCUCAUGGUCUACUUUGUGUGUGGGGAAAGCCAUCCUUUAAGCUAAAGCCCGUAGAAAGGGGAGAGGGUCCAGAGACAUCAAGCUAUCAGCCCCAUCUUGAAAGGUCUUAUGGGAACAGGAAAUAAAUCUAGGGUUUCAUUUCUGAUUCAGCUUUCUUUACCUAUUAAAACUCAGAGAGAAAGCAGGGUGUCGCUAAGUGACAGAAUACUUGCCUGGCAUGUGCAAAGGCCCUGGAUUCAAGUCCUAGUACCACAAAGUAAUAGCACCAGUGAAAUCAAAGGCAAGUAGACAGAAGUCCCGACUGCUGACCAGAGUUCAUCUUUCUGGUCCUUAACUUGGUUUCCUCACUGCUGGGACGAGGAAGUUGCUUGUUUUGUUGUGUCUUUUUCUUAGGAGGAAGUUACCUUAUUUCCUGGCCCUGACCACUAGCUGGAGUCAACAUUUGGAUGCUGCUCCAUGCAGAUGACCCCUGCCAAGCAGAUCAAGUCUUCAUCAUGUGGUUAACAGUGGCAACCAUGAGUCGGACAUGAUCUCAUGUUCAGGGGAUGUAGGGAGAGACAGGAGCUGGACUCUGAAACUAGAAUACUGAGUUCGAAUCCCAACUUUGUUGUUUCUUGGCUAUAUGACCAUCAACAAGUUCCUUAGCUUCUCUGUCGCUCAAUUUCCUGGUUUUUAAAAGGAGUUAAAUGUAUUGCUUAAAAAGUAGAUGACUUCAGAAGGCAUCAGUGGCAUAAAACAGUUAUGUGUCAUAUUGUGAGGUAUUCUCUCUCUCUGUAUCUGUCUGUCUAUCUCUGUUUGUUUUUUUUUUUUUUGAGACAGGCUUUUUCUGUCUAGCGUUGGUUGUCCUGGAACUCCUCUAGACUAGGCUGACCUUGAACUCACAGAGAUCUGCCUGCCUCUACCUCCUGAGUGCUGGGAUUGAGGGCAUUUACCAUCACCACACAGCUCUGUUUCUUACUUUACAUGCAUGAUGAACUCAACAGCCAUUAAAAAAAAAGUGUUGUAAUCCAGGAGGUAGUGUCGAACACCUUUAAUCCCAGUACUGGAGGCAGAGGCAAGUAGAUCUCUGAAUUAGAGGACACAGAGAAAUCCUGCCUCAAAAACAAACAAACAAACAAGCAAGCAAACAAACAAACAAACAAAAAAGUAUUGUAGUGUUGUACAUAUGAAAAUGUCACAAUGUAACCCAUUACUGUGUGUCUUAUUUAGGGUUUUACUGCUGUGAACAGACACCAUGACCAAGGCAAGUCUUACGAAAGACAACAUUUAAUUGGGGCUGCCUUACAGGUUCAGAGGUUCAGUUUAUUAUCAUCAAGGCAGGGACAUGACAGAAUCCAGGCAGGCAUGGUGCAGGAGAAGCUAAGGUUUCUACAUCUUGGAAGGCUGCUAGUAGAAGAAUACUCAAUUCCAGGCAGCUAGGAUGAGGGUUUUAAGCCCACGCCCACAGGGACACACCUACUCCAACAAGGCCACACCUCUUAAUAGUGCCACUCCCUGGACCAAGCAUAUAUAAACUAUCACAUUAUGUGUAAUUAAUUUAUGCUAAUGAAAUAUGCCCACCAUAUGGAGCUCUUUGGUUUAAUUUCAAUGUGCAUGUUUGGGGGAGGUCACAAAACUAGCAAGGAGACUAUGAGAAAGGAAGAAGAGAUCUAAAGAAUGGGGAGGGGCAAUAGGGAUGUGAAAUACAUGGAUUGAAAGUGAACGGGGCCUAUGAAGGGGAAGACAUUGGUCCAACAAGAGAGGUGGGGGGCACAGGAAGAGGGUGGGAGAGUGGAACCAAUAAGAGCAGGGCUUAUGUGAAAAUGCUCUGAUGAAGUCAUUGCUGUAUGAGCUAACCUAACAAACGCAGAACAAGAUAAAUGAAAGUGGGAAAGGCCCCAUGUUUAGAUCAAGCCAAGUGAAUGAAAAAAAUUGGCACAACUUAGUUUAGGAUUAAUGUUGCCGCAUAUUAAAUACUGAUGUCCCG